GCGGGCCGGGAGGGGCCGGCCGACGGAGCGGGAGGUCGCGGAGGAGGAGGCAGGCCCUGAGACGAGGCGACCGGGCUGUGCGGACACGCAGAGCCCCUGGUGGGAUCCCCCCCCGCCCCGCCUGAUUUUACAGAAUCUGAGGACCCAGAGCGUUAGGGGUCCAGGCCGCCUCACCCCAAGCUUAGCCCCAGUGGAGCCGAGUCCGCCAGAUGGCCCAGGGCCAGGUGACAAGGAUGCGGUGAGGAUGGAGGCUGAGCUCAGGGCAGGUAGGUGCCUGAGGGUGGGGCUGUGCUGUCGGGCCUGAGUGCACUCCCCAGCAGGGCCCCUCCCGGCAGGGCUGCGGGGGCCAAGUGGAAGCAGCAGACCGUCGGGGACGUGUGCCCCUUGAAGCCCUGGAGGCUGCAGCCCCUGCAGUGCCCGGAGACAGCCCUGGUCCUUCUCCUGUCUCCUCUGGUGCCAGAAGGGGGCCUGCAGCUCAUUCUCCUCCUCCAGCACACAGGACACUAAUCCCACGGCGGGGGCCCCACCCUCGUGACCCAGUCGGCUCAAAGACCCCUCCUGACACCACCCCGAGAGUUAGAGCGUCAGGCUAGGAACUCGGCACAAACCUUCAGUCCAUCAAAGACCAGAAAGGGCCUCUGCUGUCUCAGCUCAUCUGGGUCUUGACCCUGCAGAGCGGACCUGGGCGCCUCAUCUUACAGAGAAGGCCGUGUGGCUCAGGGAGCAGAGCUGUGCGUGUGCACGUGUGACCAGAGCCGACUCAGCCUCCAGAAGAGGGGGGCAGGCCUGUGCCACAACCUGAUCCCAAGGCCAGCAGGAGGCGGGAGGCUGGCGAUGACCUUAGGACCUGGUGACAGUGCCCAGGGAACAAGCCGGGAUCCUGCAUUGCUGGUGGCGGCUGGGACAGCCAGGGAUGCAGCAACACCCCUCAGUGAGCAGUCAGGUGGCCCGGCUCAUCAGCCAUCAAGCCGGGCCCCCGGGCCUGUCACCUGUCCCUGUGUCCUCUCGGGGCCUCUCCUGUGUGUGGCUAUGUCCUGACCUCGCCCUCUCAGGCCCCAUCAGAGGCUUAGGACCCAAUGGCUUUGUCCACCUCCAGAUACUGUCCCACCCCAGGGUAGUCCUGGGGGCUAGGGUUUGAGCUCGUGGACUGGGGGGACUCUGUCCAGCCACAGCAGGACCUGAGGCAGGUCAGCCCGGAGAAGCAGGGACCCGUGGUGCCCGAGAAGGAGGACAUGGCUGUUGGUCCCUCUCUGCCGGCUGCGAGCAGAGGAAGACACGAAGGAGAGCCCGAGCCCUGGGUCUGGAGGGAGAAGCACCAAACGGACGCCUUCACAGCAGCACCGCAAGGAUCCUCCCCUGGAAAGGACCAGCUCUGCCUGGAUCUUGGCCCCGCGACGCGGGCAUGGGACCUCUGGCCUGCAGAAGAGCCAGCCAGCAGGCCCCUGCUGUUCGAAGCCCCUCCGUGUGGGGUCUUCGUCACAGCAGCCGUCAGAGGUGUGUGCCUUUUAGAUACCCUUUGUUUUCCUCUUUUGCUGACUAUGCAUCGUCGGAGGCUUCGCUGGGAGCUGGUCGCAUGGGAUAUUCACACCUACCCUGGGUCACUGGCUUCUGGAUUUUUGUCCGAUGCCCCCAGAGCUUCCAGAGGGGUCAGCGCCGGGCCGUCCUUGGACUUCUGCUGUCCCCACCCGCGACGAUAAAUCUGUGCUGUUUCGAGCCACGUUUGUCACGGCGGCCUCCGGGAGCGCCUACGCUCUGACGCUCUCUCUUCCGCCGCAGCCUCGGCCUGGAGAGGAUGGCGCCGCGGGACAGGAGGCCUGUGGGCACACGCAAGACCCGCACCGAGGCCCCCUCCUCUCUGCGCUGCCAAGGGCCUCGAGCACCAUCAGUCUCUGGCAGCCGGACUGCCACCUAGGAACCCUCCACCUGCUGCUGCGGCACUCCCGGGGGCUGGGAUGGACGGACAAACCCAGGGCCCGGCCUUGUGGGCUCCAUGUUCAGCUGUGCCCACAGACAGCGGGUUCCCCCCAAAGUGACGGCGCCUCCCUGCCAGGGCGGGCGAAGCCCAUCGGGCCGCCCAUGCGACACGGGCUCUCCCGACCCAGGACCACGACCACAUCCUCAGGCGUCUCCAAACAACGACAAACGAGAACCAGCCUCAGGACCCCGCAGACGCCGUGGCCAAGAGAUGUCCCCAAAGCCUUCCCCAGUGCCCCAUCCCUCCCUAAGCCCCACCAGACCAGGCAGAGAUGCCCCAGUGUCCUCCCUGCCCUCCCCACAAGCACGUCUGGUCUGUACCCUCAGCCCCCUGCUUGGGUUCGGGGGUCCCCUCCGGGAAGACUUUGUUCUGUAAACUUGCCCUUGACCUCUGAGCCCCGCUCCUGCCCCAGCUUCUCCGCUGCACCUGCCCCUGUCCCUGCACUGCUGCCUCCUCCCACUGGGUGCAGCUCCAGGACAGCGGGGGGUCUCCUCUGCCUCGGGGUCCCCGUGCCUGCGGGAAAGCUGAGCUGAGGAAGAGAAUGCACGAAGCAGUGAAAUAAUGAAAAGGCACGUUUUGCCUAGAAAAGGAGGCUCCAGAGAGUGGCCGGCGGCCGGUCUGAAGACAUGGAACCCAGGUGCCAGCCUCAUUCCUAGUGAAAUGUCAGCGCAGAAGCCUGGGGGUUGUUUGUCCCCGCGCCCACGGAGGUGUCUCCCCGGUUCAUAAAUUUACCCAAUAGCAGAGUUUGGGAAAGUGCAUAAAGUAGAAAUAAGCCUCCCUCUGGACAGAGGAGCGCGAUGAAAAUGAAGCCCCCUGGGCCCUUCAUGGGGAGGGAGGCCGAGGCCUCGCCCGUCUGUCCCCGGCCGGAGCUGAGCUCCUAAAUCACUGUCUCUGGGUGUUACUCCGCGCGUCUCGAGGAAAUGCAAAAUACGCCACCGUGAUUAUUCUAAUGUCACUGGGGGCCUCUCAGUCAGGUGGAGAUAUUUCAAAUGCUGCCAUUUCCGAGUCAGACCGGCUCCACAAUAUUUAGGCAACUCCGCAAAAGCACAGCCAGGCCGUGAAUCAGAGGCACCGUGCCGAGUGCUCUGGGCGCCCACACAGGCCUGAAAAAACGGGAAGACAAAGUCUCCUUCCUUGCACCUGCUCUGUCGCCUCUGCCUCUGAAGUGCCACGCUUUGCCGUCCUGGCUCUGUCCCCAGGGCAGGUUCUGCACCGUGAAUGACCAAUGGGGGCGCCCCACGGCAAGGGCAGCCCAGCAGGGCCCUCGCUGCCGUCCGUGUCCCCUGGGGAAGCGAUGCUCUGUGCCCUGCCAAAGCCCACGCCCCAGCCACCCCCAUGUGUCCUGUCUCCUCCCUGGAGAGCUGGAGGGACACUCGGCUGUGUGACUCAGCUCCGUGGAGGAGCCCAGGGUCUCCUGAGCACAGAUGCGCAGACUCUGGCCCACCUCUUCCAAGUGUGCGAAUAAAGCUUUAU
rnacentral:lncRNA from 1 species